rnacentral:rRNA from 1 species
GGGUAGCUAGCGGCAGACUAACACAUGCAAGUCGAGGGGUAGAACACUUCGGUGUUUGAGACCGGCGCACGGGUGCGUAACGCGUAUGCAAUCUACCUUGUACAGGGGAAUAGCCCAGAGAAAUUUGGAUUAAUGUCCCAUAGUAUAUAACCUUCGCAUGUUGGUUAUAUUAAAGUUCCAACGGUACAAGAUGAGCAUGCGUCCCAUUAGUUAGUUGGUAAGGUAACGGCUUACCAAGACGAUGAUGGGUAGGGGUCCUGAGAGGGAGAUCCCCCACACUGGUACUGAGACACGGACCAGACUCCUACGGGAGGCAGCAGUGAGGAAUAUUGGUCAAUGGUCGCAAGACUGAACCAGCCAUGCCGCGUGCAGGAAGACGGUCCUAUGGAUUGUAAACUGCUUUUAUACAGGAAGAAACCCUCCCACGUGUGGGAGCUUGACGGUACUGUAGGAAUAAGGAUCGGCUAACUCCGUGCCAGCAGCCGCGGUAAUACGGAGGAUCCAAGCGUUAUCCGGAAUCAUUGGGUUUAAAGGGUCCGUAGGCGGUCUUAUAAGUCAGUGGUGAAAGCCCAUCGCUCAACGAUGGAACUGCCAUUGAUACUGUAAGACUUGAAUGCUUAGGAAGUAACUAGAAUAUGUAGUGUAGCGGUGAAAUGCUUAGAUAUUACAUGGAAUACCAAUUGCGAAGGCAGGUUACUACUAAGUGAUUGACGCUGAUGGACGAAAGCGUGGGGAGCGAACAGGAUUAGAUACCCUGGUAGUCCACGCCGUAAACGAUGGAUACUAGCUGUUCGGAGUAAUCUGAGUGGCUAAGCGAAAGUGAUAAGUAUCCCACCUGGGGAGUACGCACGCAAGUGUGAAACUCAAAUGAAUUGACGGAAGGGCGAAUUCCAGCA